rnacentral:rRNA from 1 species
UACAGAGGGUGCAAGCGUUAAUCGGAAUUACUGGGCGUAAAGCGUGCGUAGUCGGUUAUUUAAGUCGGAUGUGAAAUCCCCGGGCUCAACCUGGGAAUUGCAUUCGAUACUGGAUAGCUAGAGUUCGGCAGAGGGAAGUGGAGUUUCGGGUGUAGCGGUGAAAUGCGUAGAUAUCCGAAGGAACAUCAGUGGCGAAAGCGACUUCCUGGACCAGAACUGACGAUCAGGCACGAAAGCGUGGGGAGCAAACAGG